rnacentral:rRNA from 1 species
GGGGAACGCGGGGAACUGAAACAUCUAAGUACCCGUAGGAAGAGAAAGAAACAUCGAUUUCCAAAGUAGCGGCGAGCGAAAUGGAAAGAGGCCAAACCAGCUGCUUGCAGCUGGGGUUGUGGACCACUUGAAAACGCGAGGAUAUUGAUAGCCGAACAUAUCUGGAAAGAUAGACCGAAGGAGGUAAAAGUCCUGUAGGCGAAAUCGAGAAGGCGCGAAGUGGCACCAGAGUAGGACCGGGCACGUGGAACCCGGUUUGAAGCAGGAGGGACCACCCUCCAAGCCUAAAUACUACCUAGUGACCGAUAGCGAAUAGUACCGUGAGGGAAAGGUGAAAAGAACCCCGGGAGGGGAGUGAAAUAGAAACUGAAACCGUAUGCUUACAAAAAGUUCGAGCACAUUAAUGUGUGAGAGCGUGCCUUUUGCAGAAUGAACCGGCGAGUUAUUGUAUUAUGCAAGGUUAAGUGGAAAACACGGAGCCGAAGCGAAAGCGAGUCUUAAUAGACCUUGUACUUUUUGUAGAACGGGCCAACGAGUUAUGGUAUGCAGCGAGGUUAAGUACCUGGAGGUACGGAGCCGUAGGGAAACCGAGUCUUAAUAGGGCCAAAGUUGCAUGCUGUAGACCCGAAACCGGGUGACCUAUCCAUGUGCAGGUUGAAGCGAGAGUAAAAUCUCGUGGAGGACCGAACCCAUAUCCGUUGAAAAGGGUUGGGAUGACGUGUGGAUAGCGGUGAAAUUCCAAUCGAACUCGGAGAUAGCUGGUUCUCCUCGAAAUAGCUUUAGGGCUAGCCUCAAGGAAGAGAUACACGGGGGUAGAGCACUGAAUGUUCUAGGGGCCUUCACCGGUUACCGAAAACUAUCAAACUCCGAAUGCCGUGCAAUCAUACCUGGGAGUCAGACUAUGAGAGAUAAGUUCCAUGGUCGAAAGGGAAAGAGCCCAGACCUACAGCUAAGGUCCCAAAAUGUAAGUUAAGUGGAAAAGGAUGUGGAGCUGCAUAAACAGCUAGGAUGUUGGCUUAGAAGCAGCCACUCAUUUAAAGAGUGCGUAACAGCUCACUAGUCGAGUGGCUCUGCGCCGAAGAUAAACGGGGCUAAAACUUACUACCGAAGCUUAGGAUACCGCAAGGUAUGGUAGAGGAGCAUUCAUUACGGGCAGAAGCUUAAUCGUAAGGUUAGGUGGACUGUAAUGAAGAGAGAAUGUUGGCAUGAGUAGCGAAAGGCAGGUGAGAAUCCUGCCCACCGAAAAUCUAAGGUUUCCUGAGGAAGGUUCGUCCACUCAGGGUUAGUCGGGGCCUAAGCCAAGGACGAGAGUCGUAGGCGAUGGACAACUGGUUGAGAUUCCAGUACCACCGAAAGUCGUAUGAGCGAAGUGGGGACACAGAAGGAUAAGCAGAGCACGCCGCUGGUAGAGCGUGUCCAAGCAGUGAGGCUGAUAUGCAGGCAAAUCCGCAUAUCGAAAGGCUGGGCUGUUACGGGGAGGGAAAAGAAGUACCGGAAGCUGCUGAUUUCACACUGUCAAGAAAAGCCGCUAGCGAGACCGUAGGUGCCCGUACCGCAAACCGACACAGGUAGAUGAGGAGAGAAUCCUAAGGUGAGCGAGAGAACUAUUGUUAAGGAACUCGGCAAAAUAACCCCGUAACUUCGGGAGAAGGGGUGCCUGCGAAAGCAGGCCGCAGUGAAGAGGUCCAGGCAACUGUUUACCAAAAACACAGGUCUCUGCUAAAGCGAAAGCUGAAGUAUAGGGGCUGACGCCUGCCCGGUGCUGGAAGGUUAAGGGGAAGUGUUAGGGCAACCGAAGCACCGAACUUAAGCCCCAGUAAACGGCGGCCGUAACUAUAACGGUCCUAAGGUAGCGAAAUUCCUUGUCGGGUAAGUUCCGACCCGCACGAAAGG